GAAUUUUGGACAAUGGGGGCAACCCUGAUCCAGCCCUCCCGCGUGUGCGAUGACGGCCUUCGGGUUGUAAAGCACUUUUGGCAGGGGAGACAAGGCUCUGGCUAAUACCUGGAGCUGCUGACGGUACCUGCAGAAUCAGCACCGGCCGACUACGUGCCAGCAGCCGCGGUAAUACGUAGGGUGCAAGCGUUAAACGGAAUUACUGGGCGUAAAGCGUGCGCAGGCGGUUCGGCAAGAAGGAUGUGAAAUCCCAGGGCUUAACCUUGGAACUGCAUUCGUAACUGCCGGGCUAGAGUAUGGCAGAGGGGGGUAGAAUUCCGCGUGUAGCAGUGAAAUGCGUAGAGAUGCGGAGGAAUACCGAUGGCGAAGGCAGCCCCCUGGGAUAAUACUGACGCUCAUGCACGAAAGCGUGGGGAGCAAAC
rnacentral:rRNA from 1 species